UACCAGCACCCCGAGUGGUCGGGACGUUAUUGGGCCUAAAGCAUCCGUAGCCGGUUCUACAAGUCUUCCGUUAAAUCCAACUGCUUAACAGGUGGGCUGCGGAAGAUACUAUAGAGCUAGGAGGCGGGAGAGGCAAGCGGUACUCGAUGGGUAGGGGUAAAAUCCGUUGAUCCAUUGAAGACCACCAGUGGCGAAGGCGGCUUGCCAGAACGCGCUCGACGGUGAGGGAUGAAAGCUGGGGGAGCAAACCGG
rnacentral:rRNA from 1 species